CCUACGGGCGGCAGCAGUGAGGAAUAUUGGUCAAUGGGCGCAAGCCUGAACCAGCCAAGUAGCGUGAAGGAUGACUGCCCUACGGGUUGUAAACUUCUUUUAUGAGGGGAUAAAGUGCGUCACGUGUGACUUUUUGUAUGUACUUUAUGAAUAAGGAUCGGCUAACUCCGUGCCAGCAGCCGCGGUAAUACGGAGGGUCCGGGCGUUAUCCGGAUUUAUUGGGUUUAAAGGGAGCGUAGGUGGGUUGUUAAGUCAGUUGUGAAAGGUCGGGGCUCAACCGUAGAAUUGCAGUUGAUACUGGCAGCCUUGAGUACAGGUGAGGUAGGCGGAAUUCGUGGUGUAGCGGUGAAAUGCUUAGAUAUCACGAAGAACUCCGAUUGCGAAGGCAGCCGACUGAACUGCUACUGACGCUGAUGCUCGAAGGCGUGGGUAUCGAACAGGAUUAGAUACCCCUGUAGUC
rnacentral:rRNA from 1 species